AUAAUUCAGACCUGGGAAUGGAGAAUAUUUCUGCAUGUUUUUCCAGGAUUCAAUGACACAUGAUUCAAAGGUGUCUGAAAAUGCCAGCAGCCCUAUCACCCUGAUGUUGUAAAGGAGCAAUACUUUACAAACCUUGCCUCUGCUUCUGCCCAGACUCCUGCCUUUCAUGUGGGCUCAAUGGGAGAGUGCCGCAGAGCAGUGGCCUUUGCUAAACCAGCCUGUGGAUGCGGCACUUCACAGAAGCUGCAGAAAGUACUGCAACUGCAAGGAAAAAAAAAAAGAGAGGAAAAAAAAGAAUAACGACCCCCCCUGUUAAAUUUACAGAAAAUGAAUCAGCAGUGGCCAAAAAGUACUUUGGUGCUUAUAGCCUUCAAGCAGUGAUUACCAGUUGGCCAAAGCAGACAUGUUCCCACUCCGACUUCAGUUUUCAGCAGCAAAGUGGAAAAUCAUUACAAACAGCUUUAAAUUUGACACCUUGUCUAGCUUCUCAACAGACUGGCCAAGGACUGACAAACUGUGGUGGCUGUUUAUUGCUCUGACAAAUUACUUGCACCCAGGUUGCAUAUGCUUCUCAUGGCCUGCUGUCUCGGGGACAGAGACAUAGACAUGCGAUGCAGUAACUCACAUCAGCAUUUCACCCAGAAAAUAUAAACUCUUACAUUUGACAGAACAGGUCCAUCUCACCUGCUCCAGCAUAACCUCGGCCUCAGCAUCUACAGAUGUCCCCCAGUGCUCCUCCUUUGACCACCCAUCCAGCCCCAGGUGCUGGAGCUCGUUCUCAUCUCAGGAUGAGGUGUUGGGGAUUUUUUUGAACAUUUCCACAAACGACUAUUUGAUCUGGAGUGCUGCCUUCAGGAAAAGAAGCUGCUCUCAUUCUCCUUGUAAGAAUGUUUGACCACAUUUUGCUGCAGGAUCUUUUCCUACCUCAUUGUCUCCAUGACUGAGCUUCAAAGGACACCACACUGCUCUUCCCUUUGACAUCCCUUACCAGCCACACCGCUUGGCUUGUGAUAGGUCUGUUUUUCUCAGCAAUAUCUUUCUGUUCAUGCCUCAUACUUAGUGUCUCAGCUGAUCACAGAAACAGCAUGGAUUGGUCUCUCCAGGAUGCUUCUGAUCAAUUUUCUUUUCACGUGAAGCAUGAAUUAUUAACAACCAGCAGCCACUCAAAACCAACUCAAUUCCAAAGUUUUCCACAGUUUACAAAAAAUCUAAAUAAAUUAAUAACUCCAACAUUUUCCUCAA